AGCCACAGAAGGUUGGAACUGCUUUUAUUGGGGCGAGUGCUGCUGGCCCCGCUGCGGUCAGGUGAGUGCUCCGCCCUCGCCGAGGCAGCCGAGGCCUGGCGCCUCCACCCGCCGCCUACCUGGGUUAGUGGAUCAUGCGAAGCUCAGAGUGAGGCGGGGGGGCCAUCAGGGCCGGGGGCUGGAGACGACAGGAGGGGUGGCCCUGGGCUGGGUGGCCUUGGUCGGCACAGACACCUGGAAGGCGUCUCCGGGCCCGACACAGGGGCCGAGGCGCCCCAGGAGAGGGGGCGGCCAGCCCCUCAGGGUGGGCUGCAGGGCACACUGGGCCCACGGGCGGAGAGCCCCGCAGAAGCCCAGCAGUGCCCGGCCGGCUUGCCCGUCACCACUCCAGGUCGGGGUCCUUGGGGUCUGAGGAGCAGAGGAGGGACAGAAGGCACUUACGAGGGGGCUGAGGCUGGAAGGCUGCAGCCAGAGGCCUGGGGUCCCCAGAGGGGGUGGGGGGCGGGGGGCGGAGCCCGAAGUGCCCCCGGGGCCGGGAGCAGGCUGGGCCCGGCCUGGGGCAGCUGGUCUGCAGACGGGACCCUCACCUUCCCGCGGGGAAGGGGCUUCUCUGGGCAGGCUAGAAGGGGUGGCCGCCCGGCAAGGCCCACUAAGCGAGCGGGUCAGUCCCGGGGACAGGAGCUGCCUCGAGGGCCCUGCGCCUGGGGGAGGCGGGGCUGGUGGGGCGGCCCGAGCUGGGCACUGGGGGAGCCUCCGGAUGGGACCCCCUGGGGAGACAGGAGGGCGGAGUCGGGGCCGGCUCCGGACCCUCCAAGGCACCUGGCUGUGCUGAGUGGCAGGUUGAGGCGCAGGGAGACCCGGGGUCGGUGGGCGGGACUGGCCCCGACCCCGCAAGGAACAGGCUGUCAGGACAGCAGACAUAUAUUAAUGUGUUAGUCUGGUCUUUUUGCUUAGACUUUAGGCACCGCUUGGGAGGAAGACACCGUUAAACAUCACAGAGAGAGCCCGGCACCUGGGGGGGCCUGGCCACAUGCAGAGUGGGAGGCGGGGGUGGG
rnacentral:lncRNA from 1 species